rnacentral:rRNA from 1 species
UACAGAGGUCCCAAGCGUUAUUCGGAAUUAUUGGGCGUAAAGGGCGCGUAGGCGGCCAUGCGUGUCUUCCGUGAAAUCCCUCGGCUUAACUGAGGACGUGCGGAAGAAACUGCAAGGCUCGAGUCCGGGAGAGGAGGGUGGAAUUCCCAGUGUAGCGGUGAAAUGCGUAGAUAUUGGGAGGAACACCGGUGGCGAAGGCGGCCCUCUGGACCGGUACUGACGCUGAUGCGCGAAAGCGUGGGUAGCAAACGGG